rnacentral:rRNA from 1 species
GACGGAGGAUGCAAGUGUUAUCCGGAAUCACUGGGCGUAAAGCGUCUGUAGGUGGUUUAAAAAGUCUGCUGUUAAAUGUUGAAGCUUAACUUCAAAGAUGCCGUAGAAACUCUUAAACUCGAGUAUGGUAGGGGUAGAGGGAAUUUCCAGUGGAGCGGUGAAAUGCGUAGAUCUGGGAAAGACCACCAAUGGCGAAGGCACUCUACUGGGCCAUUACUGACACUGAGAGGCGAAAGCGAGGGGAGCAAAUGGG